CAUCAGAGAGACCAACAGGGAUUGCCCUAGUAACGGCGAGUGAAGCGGCAACAGCUCAAAUUUGAAAUCUGGCGUCUUUGGCGUCCGAGUUGUAAUUUGCAGAGGGCGCUUUGGCAUCGGCAGCGGUCCAAGUUCCUUGGAACAGGACGUCACAGAGGGUGAGAAUCCCGUACGUGAUCGCUAGCCUUUACCGUGUAAAGCCCCUUCGACGAGUCGAGUUGUUUGGGAAUGCAGCUCUAAAUGGGAGGUAAAUUUCUUCUAAAGCUAAAUACUGGCCAGAGACCGAUAGCGCACAAGUAGAGUGAUCGAAAGAUGAAAAGCACUUUGGAAAGAGAGUUAAAAAGCACGUGAAAUUGUUGAAAGGGAAGCGCUUGCAGCCAGACUUGCCUGUAGUUGCUCAUCCGGGUUUCUACCCGGUGCACUCUUCUAUAGGCAGGCCAGCAUCAGUUUGGGCGGUUGGAUAAAGGUCUCUGUCAUGUACCUCUCUUCGGGGAGAACUUAUAGGGGAGACGACAUGCAACCAGCCCGGACUGAGGUCCGCGCAUCUGCUAGGAUGCUGGCGUAAUGGCUGUAAGCGGCCCGUCUUGAAACACGGACCAAGGAGUCUAACAUCUAUGCGAGUGUUUGGGUGUCAAGCCCGAACGCGUAAUGAAAGUGAACGGAGGUGGGAACCUUUCGGGGUGCACCAUCGACCGAUCCUGAUGUCUUCGGAUGGAUUUGAGUAAGAGCAUAGCUGUUGGGACCCGAAAGAUGGUGAACUAUGCUUGAAUAGGGUGAAGCCAGAGGAAACUCUGGUGGAGCUCGCAGCGGUUCUGACGUGCAAAUCGAUCGUCAAAUUUGGCAUAGGGGCGAAAGACUAAUCGAACUAUCUAGUAGCUGGUUCCUGCCGAAGUUUCCCUCAGAUAGCAGUACGUUUUCAGUUUUAUGAGUAAAGCGAUGAAUAGAGCCUGGGGGUUGAAACACUUCACUAUCUCAAACUUUAAUAUGUAGAGUCUGGUACUGAAUGGACGUGACGUGGAUGUAUCGUUACUAGUGGCAUUUUGUAAGCGACUGCGAUGCGAUGACGAAGCGGGUAGUCGAUUACGCUCAUCGACCCAAACGGUAGUCACUUGAGCCAGACGUGCACUGUAGUCGAUCGCUUAGAGUGUUACAGU
rnacentral:rRNA from 1 species